GAUGAACGCUGGCGGCGUGCCUAACACAUGCAAGUCGAACGGAAAGACGAAACACUUGCUUGUUUCUCGUUAGCGGCGCGGAGGGGUGAAACAUGUGUAUGAAACACCUAUAUGAAGGGGAAAAACUAGGGAAAACGUAACUUAUACCGGAUAAACUUUUGAAGCGCAUGGGGGAAAAGUGUAAGACGGUCUUCCAGUCACUUAUCGAUGGUUCCGCGCUGCAUUAGCUAGUUGGUAGGGUAACGGCUUACCAAGGCAACGAUGCCUAGGCGACCUGAGAGGGUGAUCGGCCACACUGGAACUGAGACACGGUCCAGACUCCUACGGGAGGCAGCAGUAGGGAAUCUUGCGCAAUGGGCGCAAGCCUGACGGAGCCACGCCGCGUGUGUGAUGAAGGCCUUCGGAUCGUAAAAUUCUGUUAGUGGGGAAGAACAUAUGUGUAAGAAACCGUGCACACAUUGACGGUACCUAAUCAAGAAGCAACGGCUAACUACGUG
rnacentral:rRNA from 1 species